GGGAAGAAUUCAGGGAGAGUAAGCAACCAUCACACAACAAAACAAUGCUCGCAUUGUGCAGCAUGCCUCGAGAGAGGAAUUCUUUUACAGAGUCAUUCACUCACUCCCUGUAUUUCCAGAUGUUCAUGCUUAGAUAAGAUGUUCCUACAGAAAUGGCCUAAUUUCAAAAGUGCUGAACACCCAACAAUUUUAAUGGGAGCUGCUGGUGGAUUUAAGAGCCUGACGUUAGUGUCCGACUUCUGAAAACUGAGCCCCAAUUUGUACAUACAAAUGCCAGCUGCAGUUUUGUACAGACAUAUACGUGGGUGCGUGAAACCGUAGGUGCAAAGUUAGAGCGUGUUUGGGGCGAUCUGGCCCUUUGUGUUAUUAUUAGGCAGAGGAACUACUUGCCAAACAGCAAGGUCUCUUAGCUCCUCUGAGUUUUACAGAAGAAAAUUCAUUUAAUAUUUUGGGGUUUAGAUUCCUUCAGUAUUGAGUAAGGGUUUUGGAACCCAUUGCAAGGCUGACAGGAUGUAUUCAACCCUCGGAAACUCACCUCGUUAUUGCUUUUCUGGGCCAAAAGUGUCUUCUCGUUAGCGACCAUCCAGAGGGCGAAGCCCAGCAUAACAGCCCCGUGG